GCUCAGAAUGAACGCUGGCGGCGUGCUUAACACAUGCAAGUCGAACGAGAAAUCUUUAGCUUGCUAGAGAAAGUAAAGUGGCGCACGGGUGAGUAACGCGUGGGUAAUCUGCCUCCGAAUCGGGGAUAACAUUGCGAAAGCGAUGCUAAUACCGGAUAAAAUCUGGUUGGCUUCGGUGAACCGGAUCAAAGGUGGUCUCUUUAUAAAAGCUACCGUUUGGAGAUGAGCUCGCGUACCAUUAGCUAGUUGGUGAGGUAAAGGCUCACCAAUGCGACGAUGGUUAGCUGGUCUGAGAGGAUGAUCAGCCACACCGGAACUGGAACACGGUCCGGACUCCUACGGGAGGCAGCAGUGAGGAAUUUUGCGCAAUGGGGGAAACCCUGACGCAGCAACGCCGCGUGAGUGAUGAAGGCUUUCGGGUCGUAAAGCUCUGUCGGGUGGGAAGAACCCACCAAGUGUUAAGACCACUUGGUGCUGACGGUACCACCGAAGGAAGCACCGGCUAACUCCGUGCCAGCAGCCGCGGUAAUACGGGGGGUGCGAGCGUUAUUCGGAAUCAUUGGGCGUAAAGGGCGCGCAGGCGGUUUUGUAAGUCAGAUGUGAAAUCCCGGGGCUUAACCCCGGAAGUGCAUAUGAAACUAUGAGACUUGAGUAUGGGAGAGGGAAGCGGAAUUCCUGGUGUAGCGGUGAAAUGCGUAGAUAUCAGGAGGAACACCGGUGGCGAAGGCGGCUUCCUGGACCAAUACUGACGCUGAGGCGCGAAGGCGUGGGGAGCGAACAGGAUUAGAUACCCUGGUAGUCCACGCAGUAAACGUUGAUCACUAGGUGUAG
rnacentral:rRNA from 1 species